rnacentral:tRNA from 1 species
GCCUUCGUGGUAUAAUGGUUAGCACACUCGGCGCGUAUUCGAGAAGUCCGAGGUUCGAGUCCUGGCGAGGAUU